CGAGAACCAAAGUAAUGAUUGAUAGGGACGGUUGGGGGCAUCAGUAUUCUGAAGCGAGAGGUGAAAUUCUUGGACCUUCGGAAGACUAACAGCUGCGAAAGCGUUUGCCUAGGAUGUUCUCUUUAAUCAAGAACGAAGGUUGGGGGAUCGAAGACGAUCAGAUACCGUCGUAGUCUCAACUAUAAACUAUGCCAGCUAGGGAUGGGUGGAUGUUUAAUUACGACUCCAUCCGCACCUUAUGAGAAAUCAAAGCAUUUGGGUUCCGGGGGGAGUAUGGUCGCAAGGCUGAAACUUAAAGGAAUUGACGGGAGGGCACCACCAGGAGUGGAGCCUGUGGCUUAAUUUGACUCACACGGGAAAAUUUACCAGGACCAGACAUAGCGAGGAUUGACAGAUUGAUAGCUCUUUCU
rnacentral:rRNA from 1 species